UCCGGGUUGGACCCGGCGGUCCCGCCAGACAUGGUAACUGGCAGCGAGGGUUGCGCUCGUUGCGGGACUUAACCCAACACCUCACGACACGAGCUGACGACAGCCAUGCAGCACCUGUGCACGAUCUCCGAAGAGGGGCUCUCGUUUCUGAGAGCUUGCUCGUGCAUGUCAAACCCAGGUAAGGUUCUUCGCGUUGCCUCGAAUUAAACCACACGCUCCACCGCUUGUGCGGGCCCCCGUCAAUUUCUUUGAGUUUUAACCUUGCGGCCGUACUCCCCAGGCGGAGAGCUUAAUGCGUUAGCUGCGUCACCGACACGCAUGCGUGCCGACAACUAGCUCUCAUCGUUUACAGCGUGGACUAC
rnacentral:misc_RNA from 1 species